GCCCCUACGGGAGGCAGCAGUGAGGAAUAUUGGUCAAUGGACGCAAGUCUGAACCAGCCAUGCCGCGUGCAGGAAGACGGCUCUAUGAGUUGUAAACUGCUUUUGUACGAGGGUAAACGCAGAUACGUGUAUCUGUCUGAAAGUAUCGUACGAAUAAGGAUCGGCUAACUCCGUGCCAGCAGCCGCGGUAAUACGGAGGAUGCGAGCGUUAUCCGGAUUUAUUGGGUUUAAAGGGUGCGUAGGCGGUCCGUUAAGUCAGCGGUAAAAUUGCGGGGCUCAACCCCGUCGAGCCGUUGAAACUGGCA
rnacentral:rRNA from 1 species